GGGGUUGUGGCUCAGUGAUAGAGCACUCACCUUGAAGGUGCAAGGCUCUGGGUUCGAUCCUCAGCACCA
rnacentral:tRNA from 1 species